GUAAAUGGGGGGAAAUUGUCCACGUCUCAACCACUUCUGUCCAAGUAUUGUACGUAGCUCUUUCACGUCUAUAAGUUUUGUUCUCAUCGAUAUUGGUUCGAGUGUACGUGUUUAGUUGACUGUCAACAACUUUAAAAGAAAUUUCAUAAACUGUACGUCAAAGGCAAACAUAUAAAAGACACUUGCUAUUGUGUUGCGAACACAAACAAAAAUUUCAAGUAGAUAGUAGCACUUUAAUUUCGUGAAAAUUCGAAUAUUCGAUUUCGUGACUGCUAAGCCAAAUUAAAUACUUCUGUUCGCAAUAAAAUUUUUGGACAUAAUUAUAUAUGUAUAGAUGUUAAUUAUUAUAUAGAUCCUAUUUCAUAUGUCAAAAUAUAACUGUUUGGUAUUUGCGGAAUUAUUACGUUGAUUUGUAUUACUAGCCUAUUAUAGCUUACUAUUAUUUAAUAUUGCAUGGACCUUGACUAGUAUUUA